AUUGAACGCUGGCGGCAGGCUUAACACAUGCAAGUCGAGCGAGCGGCGGACGGGUGAGUAAUGUAUGGGAAACUGCCCGAUAGAGGGGGAUAACUACUGGAAACGGUGGCUAAUACCGCAUACUAUCGGAUGUACCCAGAUGGGAUUAGCUAGUAGGUGGGGUAAAGGCUCACCUAGGCGACGAUCCCUAGCUGGUCUGAGAGGAUGAUCAGCCACACUGGAACUGAGACACGGCCCAGACUCCUACGGGAGGCAGCAGUGGGGAAUAUUGCACAAUGGGCGCAAGCCUGAUGCAGCCAUGCCGCGUGUGUGAAGAAGGCCUUAGGGUUGUAAAGUACUUUCAGCGAGGAGGCGUUACCCGCAGAAGAAGCACCGGCUAACUCCGUGCCAGCAGCCGCGGUAAUAC
rnacentral:rRNA from 1 species